rnacentral:rRNA from 1 species
UACGUAGGUGGCAAGCGUUAUCCGGAAUUAUUGGGCGUAAAGCGCGCGCAGGCGGUUUCUUAAGUCUGAUGUGAAAGCCCACGGCUCAACCGUGGAGGGUCAUUGGAAACUGGGGAACUUGAGUGCAGAAGAGAAAAGCGGAAUUCCACGUGUAGCGGUGAAAUGCGUAGAGAUGUGGAGGAACACCAGUGGCGAAGGCGGGUCUCUGGGCCGAUACUGACGCUGAGGCGCGAGAGCGUGGGGAGCAAACAGG